GUUGACCUCGGAUCAGGUAGGAAUACCCGC
rnacentral:ncRNA from 32 species